AGUGUUUCCUAGAGCCAUCUGCUGACAACACGAACAUUGGGCAUCUGACAGAGGAGAAAUAUUUAUAAGGUUUAGCUCCAGUAUCACAGGCAGAGCAAUGGAGGAUGGAUUUGGAGCUGCAAGGCAAUAAACUGGUAACUGAACAAAACCAGUCCAAGAAGAUUGUAUAUAAGAGACACCUGAUAAUUUCAAAAUCCUAGGCCCACUUCCUGAGCUGAGCAAGCAUGCAACCUCAAAGAGAAAAGUUUGAGGAAAUCACUUCAAGGACAAAAAAUUGCAAUGUAAAGAGAAUUAUUUAUCUCCAAAUUCCAGAUUACCCCCCUGCCCAACCCCUGCCAGCAGCACCGUCCACAUGGUUUCUCAUUUAGUUUUGUGUUAGUUUAACAAAGUAGACUCUGCAAUCUGGAUAAAAUAGUAAGUCACCUCAGGUAGGUGCCAAUAGGAUGCUCCUUUGGACAUUGCAGAUUUUAAGUACUGUCUUUUUAUAAUACAGGAGGCAUGUACAAGUCUGUCAUAUGUGGAAAUGUUGUGAACCCAUCAUAUAUACAAUGUGCUGUUUUAGAAGAUAGAUUGUCCAUUUAGGUGUGUUAUAACAACCUAGAUGGGAAGUUACUUUCCGGUGUGUUCAAAGUUCCUUAUCUGAUUCUGCAGAGGCUGGGAUCUGAGCAGGUCACUCUAUCUCUGGAGGCCUGUUACUUGAUGAUAAAUACUAAUAAACAUCUCCCGUCAGACAUCUCAUCUUUUUGUGGAUUCCUGUAGUACUCUUACCCUUUCUACAAACAUGUAAAUACCAUCCAUUGAUAUAAUUUUUUUUUUUUUUUCUUUUGAGAGAGAGUCUCCCUCUGUUGCUCAGGCUGGAGUGCAGUGGCACGAUUUCGGCUCACUGCAAGCUCUGCCUCCCGGGUUCGCGCCAUUCUCCUGCCUCAGCCACCUGGGUAGCUGGGACUACAGGCGCUCGCCACCACGCCUGGCUAAUUUUUUGUAUUUUUAGUGGAGACGCGGUUUCACCGUGUUAGCCAGGAUGGUCUGGAUCUCCUGACCUCGCGAUCCGCCCGCCUAUAUAAUAUUCUUAUUUAACCCUUGGUUAAUAUAUUGGCAUCAGUUUGUUUUAACAACAAUAACAUAAUUAUCCCUAAUAAUCAGCAUUAUAAAAGCUAUCAUAAUCGCUUACAUAACUACAACUAUUAUCUAGACAAUAAUAGGUUAGAUUAAUAAGAAUUCAGUGUUAUUCAACACAUUGCUAAAAUGUUUCCAUGUACUUUUAUCUUAUAAGCUAAAUCUUAGGAGCUGUUACUCCUGGAAUAGAACAAUAUUUCAUUAAUAUAUUUAAAAUUUUAAAUUAGUAAACAUUUUUCUGAGAGAUUCUGAUUCUAUGGAGAAAAAAUAAUGUGAUCAAGAAUUUCUAUUGCUGGAAACAAACUAACAAAUCAUUUAGUUCGAAAGCCCCUCUUACAAAUGCAGGAACUGAGCUGAUUGACUCUUCAUUUAAUGAUAAUACUAUUAACAGGUAAUGCAGUUUUGAAGGAAAGCACAGGCUGAAUACAGAAAUCUCUUUCCAAGAGGUGGUGAGUCUUUACGACAAUUGAAUACGUGUUAUUUUUAUUCACUAAAAUUUGGCUAAGAUUGAAAGGGUAAACUUUGUGGGUCUUUCAGGAGAUCUUUUACUAAAAUAAGUAGGGCCUUAAUCACUGCUGAAUGAACUUUGUACAGAAUGGGCCCACAGGCCUCAUCUGUUGUAGCUGGGAUUGCUUUGAGAGAAGUGGAUUUGUUGAAAAGUGGAUGGAAGAACACAGGAUUUAGAAUUGGCAUAUUUGACUAUAGCUUCUGCAUCCACCUAUCUCUGCGCUAUAGAAAUGAUUAAAGAGAAGUGGGAAAAAUUCAUAAACUUUAUGAUUAUUUUUAAUUUUAAGGAGGACAUGGGACCUUUAUUAAAAAAAAUAUUCCCAUAUAUGAAAGAUUCUUAUUUCUAUAAUGGGGAAAUGGCGAGACUAUGAAAAAAAAAAAACAAAUAUGUAAUUGAACUUUAAUGUAUAAUACCAAAAUAAACUAUAGGUCACCUUUGGCAGUAUAUAUGUUUAAAAAUAAUUUCGACGUUUAAAAUGCCUUAAGAGAGGACCAUUAAGGUCAGAUUGAGAAGAUAAAAGAAUUGAUCUUUUAGGGUGCCAUUCUACUCUAUAGCUCUGUAAUUUCUAUGGUUAUGAUGGUUCUCUUUUGUUAAAUAAGGACUUAUAGAAAUUAUUUAUUUUAUCUGUUUGUAUUUAUUUAUUUGCCUGUUGGUACUAGUCAACUGCUUCCCCUUACUUCCCUCCACUUGCUACAACUAAUCAAAUGUCAUAUUUUAAGAUUAUUUACCAAGGUUGCUUUAAAUUUUUGUCUCCUUUUUAAAGUGUGAAAAUUAUUUAUUUUAAAGUUAGCAUUCAUUUCAUUAUUCCUUCUUUAAUAAAGUAUUUAUUGGCCGGGCACAGUGGCUCACACCUGUAAUCCCAGCACUUUGGGAGGCUGAAGCGGGUGGAUCACAAGGUCAGGAGUUCGAGACCAGCCUGGCCAACAUGGUGAAACCCUGUCUAUACUAAAAAAACAAAAAUUAGCUGGGUGCAGUGGUGCACCCCUGUAAUCCCAUCUACGCAGGAGGCUGAGGCAAAAUCGCUUGAACUCGGGAGACAGAGGUUGCAGUGAGCCGCGAUCACGCCACUGCACUCCAGCCUGGAUGACAGAGCGAGAUUCUGUCUCCUCCGUCUCAAAAAAAGAAAAUAAUAAAUAAAUAAAUAAAUAAAUAAAUAAAUAAAUAAAUAAAUUCUUUAUUGAAUGAUGGAAUUCAUGUACUUCCAAAGUUCUGAGAGGCAAAACAUGGUGAUGGCUGAUUCUUUGCCUGUAAUAUCUUGCUAUGUUAUCAAAGCAAGUCAAAUAUAUAAUUAUAAUAUAGUUUAAGAAGUGCCGUAAUAGAUGAACAGUACUACUAUGGGAAUUCUGAAGAAAGGAAUGCAAAUCGGACAGGGGGAAGAGAAAAUGUUUUCUGUUUCUGAAUAGCCAGGGAUAUUUAUGACAUUGGACUGAUAAAUGCAGAGAUCUCAUUCAUGCCUCCCUGAGCUAACAUGUAUGUUUCCCUUACUACUAUGCAAACUUCAAGAAGGGAAACGUUUUCUACAGUAUCUAGAAUAGUUUUUUGCAUAGAGUAGACAUACAUGAAACAAUGAUACACAUUAAUUACUUUCUCAGUAAGCUUGAUAAAAUGGAAGAUGCUCAAUAACAGUUCAGUUUCUUGUCCCUUGAGAAGUGGUGCAUGAAUUGUAGCCUGGGUAAGUUUCAUGUCUUUGUAUGCUUUUGUUUCUUUUUUAUGUCUAAAUAGUAAAUCAGGAGGAAUUUCUUGGAUAUGCUGGUGGUUAAGACUUGAUUCUUUGGUUUUAAUAAUGUUAAUAUAUUGAGGUUUAGUUGUGACUGAAUAUAAAAUUCAUUGUUUUUAACUUAAAACUUUAAAAUCAAAUUGCAGAAGCCUUGGCCAAGGAAUAAUUGUAUAAAAUACAGUGUCUGAACUUGCAAGCUGUUCUUUUAUCUGAUUUGUGAACAUUUAUUAACAUGACCUUAUGUAUUAGAAUGUCCUAUACAAACAUGUCAAACAAUCAAAAUUCAAAGCUUUUCAUUUUCAAAAGCUGCCUAAAAUGCCACUCUCUCUAGACAAUCACCCUGGAAGUAAUGGUCUCUUCUCUGAACCAUCAUAAUUCUCUGGUUCUUUCAAGAAAGAGUUAAAUGCUUUCCAGUAGUUUCUUUCUGAUCUUGAUUGUUCUCAGGGGUCUCCUCAGAGUUAUUUUAUAUAUUUUCCUUGAAAUUUUAAAGAGUUAUUUGUGGAUGAAUUCUCAUAGAAUAUAUUUAAUUAUGGAGGUUCUCAUUAUGCUUCAUACAUGGGAAGUAAUUCUGAAACAAAGAAAGUAAAAGGCCGUAAACUCUCUAUGGGCUGCUUUAUUAAUCAAAGGAGAUAUAGAAUUAACCCAUUAGAAGUACUCUACUUUCUCUGAGGGGAACUUCUUUGUUCUGUAGAUUGGUAUAUAAAUUGAAAUGUAAUUAUUUGCUCAGUUUUAUUAACAUAUUUAAAAAGUAAUUGAAUAUUUGCAGAUGAGAGAGAAAGAA
rnacentral:lncRNA from 1 species